AUUGAACCAUUAUUUCUUUUUCCCUAGUCAAACUAUGGCAGCUUGGAUCACGACCAAUGUCACAGAUGAUACGCUGAUGACAAUCCGAAUCAAGACAAUUAGUAAAAUUCUUUUCCACAAUUCAUGCAAUUUCUCAUUUUUCUCUAUCAUCCCGGCCAAACCACUAUAAAAACAAUAACUAAAAUUAGCAAUGAACUUGAUUCGAUCACGACAAGUAAGAAUUAUACAGAAAGAUAUUGGAUCACCCUGCAAUAGAUAAACAUAUUGGUGAUUGAGUUCCACUUAGAUUGGCCAGCUCUACACAUUAUCCAAAACAUACACCGGUUUAUCUAUAAAUAUCCUACUUCUCACCACACAUUUUAUGAAUGAGACAAUCCUACUUCUCACCACACAUUUUACAAAUUUGAAUAUACAGAAAUCAUCAAUUACUUGUAUACAC
rnacentral:lncRNA from 1 species